GUGAUUCGGGGUGCAGCAGGCGCGAAAACUUUGCAAUAAGCGAAAGCUUGACAGGGCUAUCCCGAGUGCCAUCCGCUGAGGAAGGCUUUUACCCAGUCUAGAACGCUGGGGGAAUAAGGAGAGGGCAAGUCUGGUGUCAGCCGCCGCGGUAAUACCAGCUCUUCGAGUGGUGUGGAUGUUUAUUGGGCCUAAAGCAUCCGUAGCUGGCUAAGUUAGUCCCUUGUUAAAUCCACCGAAUUAAUCGUUGGAUUGCGGGGGAUACUGCUUGGCUAGGGGACGAGAGAGGCAGACGGUAUUUUCGGGGUAGGGGUGAAAUCCUAUAAUCCCGGGAAGACCACCAGUGGCGAAGGCUGUCUGCUAGAACGCGCCCGACGGUGAGGGAUGAAAGCUGGGGGAGCGAACCGGAUUAGAUACCCGGGUAGUCCCAGCUGUAAACGAUGCAGGCUAGGUGUUUGGACGGCCACGUGCCGUUCUAGUGCCGCAGGGAAGCUGUUAAGCCUGCCGCCUGGGGAGUACGAUCGCAAGAUUGAAACUUAAAGGAAUUGGCGGGGGAGCACAAUCGAAU
rnacentral:rRNA from 1 species